GGCGAACGCUGGCGGCGUGCCUAAUACAUGCAAGUUGAGCGAUGAAGAUUGGUGCUUGCACCAAUUUGAAGAGCAGCGAACGGGUGAGUAACGCGUGGGGAAUCUGCCUUUGAGCGGGGGACAACAUUUGGAAACGAAUGCUAAUACCGCAUAACAACUUUAAACAUAAGUUUUAAGUUUGAAAGAUGCAAUUGCAUCACUCAAAGAUGAUCCCGCGCUGUAUUAGCUAGUUGGUGGGGUAAAGGCUCACCAAGGCGAUGAUACAUAGCCGACCUGAGAGGGUGAUCGGCCACAUUGGGACUGAGACACGGCCCAAACUCCUACGGGAGGCAGCAGUAGGGAAUCUUCGGCAAUGGACGAAAGUCUGACCGAGCAACGCCGCGUGAGUGAAGAAGGUUUUCGGAUCGUAAAACUCUGUUGGUAGAGAAGAACGUUGGUGAGAGUGGAAAGCUCAUCAAGUGACGGUAACUACCCAGAAAGGGACGGCUAACUACGUG
rnacentral:rRNA from 1 species